rnacentral:lncRNA from 1 species
GGAGGAUAGACUCAAAUACUAAUGGAGUGCAAGUCAAAGCAGAGAUCUGGAAAAGGCCUGACCCAAGACUGGAAGCUCUAUUUAACCUAGAGAAGGGGGCUGCAUGGGACGACAGAUAGAUGAGGCUCUAGGACGGGCACAAAUGCUACCCGAAUGCAAACCACUCCGGAGAUCUGUAAAAGGACUGGCCCCGGACAGGAAGCACACUUUAAACUAGAGGCGGGGAUUGAAGGGUUCUCCCUAUGCUGCUUUGAGCGCUGCUAUUGGGUGCCUUGAGGGGACCUCAAGUAAGCUCCAUUUUUGAAACAUGAUCUUCAUCCACAUCUUGAAGUUUGAAGUUUGGCCAAGAAUAUACAAAAUAGAUUCUCUUUCUCAGGAUGGCAAGUGUUCAUGACAUCAAUACUACCCAAGGCUUCAGAGUCAUUGGAUUGCAGGAUGCAGUGACUUAUGAUGAUGUGCGUGUGAACUUCACUGAGGAAGAGUGGGAUUUGCUGGAUCCUUCCCAGAAAAGUCUCUAUGAAGAGGUGAUGCUAGAGACAUACCAGAACAUCACUGCUAUAGGAAGAAGAGGAAGUGCUGUGAGGAAAGCUCAAGCAAGCCAGGAAGUAGGUCAUGGAUGGAACUAUUCUCUGUAUCCUGCUUUGAGCACUGCUAUUGGGUGCUGUGAGGGGACCUCAAGUAAGCUCCAUUUUUGAAACAUGGAUGGCAAGUGUUCAUGACAUCAAUACUACCCAAGGCUUCAGAGUCAUUGGAUUGCAGGAUGCAGUAACUUAUGAUGAUGUGCGUGUGAACUUCACUGAGGAAGAGUGGGAUUUGCUGGAUCCUUCCCAGAAAAGUCUCUAUGAAGAGGUGAUGCUGGAGACCUACCAGAACAUCACUGCUAUAGGCUACAAUUUGGAAGACCAUCAUAUUGAAGAACAUAGUCAAAGUUCUAGAAGACAUGAAAGGCAUGAAAGAAUUCAUAUUGGAGAGAAACCGUAUGAACGUAACCAAUGGGGUAAAGCCUUUGCAAGUGACAAUCAUCUCCAAAUACAUAAAAAAACAAAUAC